rnacentral:lncRNA from 1 species
AUGGUGACCCACCUUGAGUCCGAGUGCUUAAGAGGCAGCAGCAUGCUCCUGAGGAGGAGGAUCCUUGACAAAAGAAAGGUGAAAGUCAUGGAGAUAACCCUCCUGUACCUUGAAGAGCUUCCAUCUCUCCUGGAGAGUUCCCUUCCAGGGCUAAAACCUGGAAUUCCAGAGCCUUGGAGAAUGGGAGAGAUUCUCUGUUGGAAACCAUCCUGGGGUGUGCGGUCCAGCUAUGCCACCUAAACAAGCUUCUCCUUGGAGAGAUAAGGGCCUGAAGAUUAUGAGCAUCUGCUCCUUCUCUCUGUGUAAGUUUGCCCCCAAUAAACCCUAUUUUAUAUCUGCA